GGAGGUUACUGCUAUCGGUGUUCGCCUAACCCAUGCGAGUCAUAUGUUCUUCGUGAACAUGGCGUACUGCUCAGUAACACGUGAAUAACCUGCCCUUGGGACCGGCAUAACCCCGGGAAACUGGGGAUAAUUCCGGAUACCGCAUAUAUGCUGGAAUGCUUUAUGCGUGAAAUGGAUUCGUCUGCCCAAGGAUGGAUCUGCGGCCUAUCAGGUAGUAGUGGGUGUAAUGUACCUACUACCCUACAACGGGUACGGGUUGUGAGAGCAAGAGCCCGGAAAUGGAUUCUGAGACAUGAAUCCAGGCCCUACGGGGCGCACCAGGCGCGAAAACUUUACAAUGCGGGAAACCGUGAUAAGGGGACACCGAGUGCCACCAACAUUUGUUGGCUGUCCAGGUGUGUAAACUACACCUGUUAGCAAGGGCCGGGCAAGACCGGUGC
rnacentral:rRNA from 1 species